CUCUUCUCCUUGAGAAGGUAUGUUCUGUUUUUAACUGCAUAUGCUUACUAUUUGAAGUGUGGAUUCAAUUGCGCUACAUUCAUCUUGAGAUUCUUUUUCUUUGACAGAGUUCUCCAUUAUUUCUGGUGUUUCACAGCAAAUAGCUUUUUGAUCAUUCAUCUGUUAUAUGCUGGGUAGAGUUUAUUUAAUGAAGCAAAAGCAUUUUCAAGAAGAUGUGUUAUAGAGAUUGUUCCUGCCUGUUUGACAUUAUGAAUGAAGGAUAAUUCCUUGAGGCGGUGAUGUCAAGUUGUCAACUGGUGAUUCUUAUAGACAAUUCAUGAUGAGAACACCUCAGGGAUAUAUCAGCCUGCAGGUCUAUAGCAUUCUAGACAUAACACAUUCAUGCCAGCAGUCACAUAGCAAUAGGUAGGUUGCCAGUUAGUAGGGUGGUGUUCUGGGAGUUAGCAAAUGGAAUUUGUGGGAUGAUUUCUCCUACCAAUAUAUCGACGCUGCUAUUUUGCUGCUUACCAAUUGAAGCUAAAUAGACACUCAAGAAAUGGUAUGUUGUGCCUGAUUUAGGAGUAUUGGCGCUAUUUCUUCUAUGAUUACUGAACUAUUGGCCUGCCGAGGGCAUCUUUUCGACAAUAUUAGCCAGCAUAGUAUGUGACAUGUUAGCUUUAUUUACCUCAGUGUUCCUUCUUCAGUUCUUCAUCAUUGGCAAAUUUUAUUAAAUGGACAUGUUUUCUUCACCAUGUCAUCUGCAGUACAUUACAAAGUGUAUGUAUUGAUGAAUGAUUAGCUUCUGUUCACCUAACUCCCUGUGUACGCCAAAGGUAUGGCCAUCUGAACUGAUGCUGUUUCAUUUCAGUAGUAGUAUGUUAUAUACAAGUUCACUCAACUCUCAGAUUGUUGUUGUGAUUUGAUUUUGUUCCCUGUGCAUACUAUAUAUGGAUGGUGCUUGAAAAAGGGCAUCAAGUUGACAUGAAUCUGCUCCCAUCUUAUGUUCUGAUGAAUCUGGUAAGUGGUGUCUAUGAUCUACCUUUUUAAAUGAGAAAUGUUGAUUCAAGCAGGGUCUAUAUCUGUUGUGAUGUCGUAGUAGACAUGCUAGAUGUUUGACAAAAUUUCUUUUACCUACCAAAUGAUGAAUAAGUCAUUGUAUUCUGGUCUUUGUGGAGCUGCUACUGCACAUGGUUCUUGUGAAGGACUGCAGCACACACAUGGUCCUUUGUGAAGGACUGGCUGUUAGGAUAGGAUAGCAUUCCUGAUCUUUAACUGUUUUUAGAGGCAUCAAGGACUGGUAGUUAGCAGCUUUUAGACUAGCAUAUUCUGGCUGGCUAGCAGCUAUAAAUCUGUACCACCGUGCCCUCAGUUUGGCAUGGCAUUGU